AGAGUUUGAUCCUGGCUCAGAUUGAACGCUGGCGGCAUGCUUUACACAUGCAAGUCGGACGGCAGCACAGAGAAGCUUGCUUCUUGGGUGGCGAGUGGCGAACGGGUGAGUAACAUAUCGGAACGUACCGAGCAGUGGGGGAUAACUAAUCGAAAGAUUAGCUAAUACCGCAUAUUUUCUGAGGAAGAAAGCAGGGGACCAUUUGGCCUUGCGCUGUUUGAGCGGCCGAUAUCUGAUUAGCUAGUUGGUGGGGUAAAGGCCUACCAAGGCGACGAUCAGUAGCGGGUCUGAGAGGAUGAUCCGCCACACUGGGACUGAGACACGGCCCAGACUCCUACGGGAGGCAGCAGUGGGGAAUUUUGGACAAUGGGCGCAAGCCUGAUCCAGCCAUGCCGCGUGUCUGAAGAAGGCCUUCGGGUUGUAAAGGACUUUUGUCAGGGAAGAAAAGGGCGGGGUUAAUACCCCUGUCUGAUGACGGUACCUGAAGAAUAAGCACCGGCUAACUACGUGCCAGCAGCCGCGGUAAUACGUAGGGUGCGAGCGUUAAUCGGAAUUACUGGGCGUAAAGCGGGCGCAGACGGUUACUUAAGCAGGAUGUGAAAUCCCCGGGCUCAACCUGGGAACUGCGUUCUGAACUGGGUGACUAGAGUGUGUCAGAGGGAGGUAGAAUUCCACGUGUAGCAGUGAAAUGCGUAGAGAUGUGGAGGAAUACCGAUGGCGAAGGCAGCCUCCUGGGAUAACACUGACGUUCAUGCCCGAAAGCGUGGGUAGCAAACAGGAUUAGAUACCCUGGUAGUCCACGCCCUAAACGAUGUCGAUUAGCUGUUGGGCAGCAUGACUGCUUAGUAGCGAAGCUAACGCGUGAAAUCGACCGCCUGGGGAGUACGGUCGCAAGAUUAAAACUCAAAGGAAUUGACGGGGACCCGCACAAGCGGUGGAUGAUGUGGAUUAAUUCGAUGCAACGCGAAGAACCUUACCUGGUCUUGACAUGUACGGAACCCUCCAGAGACGGAGGGGUGCCUUCGGGAGCCGUAACACAGGUGCUGCAUGGCUGUCGUCAGCUCGUGUCGUGAGAUGUUGGGUUAA
rnacentral:rRNA from 1 species